GAUGAACGCUAGCGAUAGGCUUAACACAUGCAAGUCGAGGGGCAGCAUUAUUUUAGCUUGCUAAGAUAGAUGGCGACCAGCGCACGGGUGCGUAACGCGUAUGCNACCUGCCUGUANUUAGGGAAUAACCCUGUGAAAGUCGGANUAAUACCCUAUAGNUUCCUUUCUCU
rnacentral:rRNA from 1 species